GUCCUUCACCGAGGCUUCCGGUGUUGUCUCACAUGUCCAAAGAAAACAUUGUAGCUAUCCUUUUUAAAUUGGAAACAUAUGACUCCAUGUACUUUUGCAACUAACCAUCAUUCGAAGUGUGCUGCUGCAACAUGUUCAACUGAGGGCUGGCGUGUGACCUCUAUGACUGACUGCAGUCGGACUAAACCAGGCAUCACGUCUCAUUCCUGGAAAAAGGUUGGUGUGUUGCCAUGACGUUCAUCAAGCCUCCUUCAUUGGACCUCUGACUUUAUCAGACAGGAAUUUAAUUACAUCUCUUUUACCCUGAACAUUCCUCAAAUUAAAUGUCUUCAGGAAUGCUCUGAAGACCUGUACGAAAGCUCCUGAAGACCUGUACGAAAGCUCUGAAGACCUGU